UACCAACAUAGCUCAGUUGGUAGAGCAUGAGACUUAAUAUCAGGGUCAUGGGUUCGAGCCCCACAUUGGGCAAAA